CGCCCCGCGCCCCCGGCGGCGUCAGCUCCAGCCCCGGGGAUGCGGGUCGGGAACACGAGGGGGUGGGGUGGGAAUGGGGGCGGGCGCGUCCCUCCCUAGGGUGUCCCCUCCGACGCCCGCUCCUCUGGACCUCUGCCGUGGAGCCCCCCGGGCUACCCCCAACUCCCCGGCCCCGGCCGCUGCUAUCUGCGCGGCUGGGCCCGUCAGGGAAGCCCAGGGGUCACUGUCUCGCGGCGGCUUCUGCUUCUUGGAUGAACUUGCGUCCCGCGUCCGGGCUCUGGGUGGGCGGGCUCAGGUCGGCGCGGUCCCAGCGGAUAAUUCCGCCCUUUCCCGGCGGGGAGGAGGGGGCGCGACCUGGGUGGCCAGCGCCCCUUGCCCCUCGGCGGUCUCGCUGGGGACCGUGUGGGACCUUGGAGAGAAGGCGAGCGGCCGAGCGCCCCAGUGGCCCCAGGCCUGGAGACCCUUCCGGGAGAGCGGGGGCCUGUUUUUGCUCCGCGGCUCUUUGUCGCUUCCGAGGGGGGAUGGAAGGAGUCGGGUUGCAAGUUUACAUUUCGGACCCGAGUGCGCAUUCCUGAGAGGGAGGCUUUCCCUUGCGGCUGAAUAGACGGGCCCGUCCGCGUGGGACCCGCAUCCUUGCGCCCCGGGGACCCGCAGCCGGUCGCCGAGGCCUGCGGACGCCCACCUCUUCGUGAUCUGCGCGCCUGGUGUCGGGACUGGGCCGUGGCUACUCUCCUGCUCUCCCGGGUCCGGGAUCUUCCCAGUUGGUUUUCGGGCUUGCUAUUCCCCGUCCCACCAUCCACAGACAUCCUUGACCGCCUGCCUCAUCCAGGCCACUCGACCCGACUGGGAAGACCUUUGGUGGUCUCGCCUCCCACAGCCCAGGCUGUGUCCUCCAAGGGCACCGUCUCAGCAGCAGCCCCGCGCCCAUUCUGUGCCUGGCCCGUGCUGGACCUGCCCGACCCUCUGCUGGUGUGGUUCGAAUCCUGGCUCUCUGACUUUUGGGAAGCGCCCUGGCAGCCCUUGUCCCCGGAGCGCUCUCCUUUCUGUGAACAGUUGCUUCUCUCUGCUGUCAAUGACUUACAGUAUGCCCUGACCACGGAGCCAGCUGGACAGUGGUCACGGGGACAGUCCUGGGACAGCCCUGGGUCCUACCGGGCCUGCACUUAGCUUGUUCCACAUGCUGGGAGGCAUAGGGGGCCUCCUUGCUUCAGGACCAUUAUGACUGAGCUUCCUCCCCAUCUCCCCAUUUUGCAGAUGAGGAAACUGAGGCCCAGACACAUUCACAAAAGUGCAGGAGAGCUCAUCUGACUGCAGACUCAGUGUGUAACCUGCACCCUGUGCACCACCUAAUGGAUUCAGUCUGGGGCACUUGGCACGGGCCUUCAGUCUGCAUCAGAGGCGAGAGGUUCGGGGUGGAUAUUCCACCUGAGAAUGCUUGGGUUGUGGCGACAGUGGGGGUCCCUGCGGGGGUAGUGUGUAGAGGAGAGAGCUGAGGACUGACUCCCAGGGAACCUAGCACCAGCACACGCAGAGAGAGAGGAAGAGGUGGAUAGGCAGGAGAGGCAGGAGGCUGGCAGAGGAGCAGGCAUCCCAUAGCCCUGGCCCUGCUGAGGAAGCAACUUAGGUGCCCAUGGCCAGGGUGCAGUAGUGGCCAUUGGGGGUGUAGUGGGGGCCAUCGGGGUGCAGUGGGGGCCAUCACUGCUCCCAUUCUACAGAGGCAAGGAAGAGGUGGAUUGCUUGCCUGAGGUCACAUCACCAGUAAGUGGUGCCUCCUGGGUGUGAAGUGUGGCCGCCCUGGGUUCAGCUGCCACAGUGUCCUGUGCUUGCCUGCAGAUGGGGAGGGCUUCUCUUUGGGACGCCACAUUUUAAGAGACCUUGUUACCCUUCGUCUGCCCCCAGAGAGACCUGGAUGGUGUCAGUUAGGAUCCUAUAGUGUAGCUGGAUGGUCUGGAGAAGACUGAAAAGAAUGUUCGUAGAUGGGAGAACGGGGUCUCCUUGCUGGGGAGGAGGCUGAGGGCCAGAACAGGGCGGUGCGCUUGAGUCUCACACCUUCCAGAAGCUUCACCAGCGCUCAUGGUGGUGACUUCUAACAUCACACCUCUUGCUAAUACUUUGGUUUUAAGAAAACUCCAUGUUUGAUUAUUAAGAAAAAAUAAAUUUAAAAAAGUUAAAAAAAGAAAAAAUAGAAAACUGUUGGAAAAUUUUAAAAGGCGAAAAGUAUCUGGGAUGGUUUUGCCAGGAAAUGCUAGGAAAGAUGUGAAGGGCUGAAGGUAGAGAAGAGAGUGGCUGCUGUGCUUCCUCUCACUGGGUGCAGAUGACAGCUUGCUGGGUAGACAGUAAUGAGACAGCACCACUCCAUCGGCAUCCAGAGGCACUUUAACCAGAGUCCCCCAUCAGGGAGGGUGGGAGGGGAGCUGAGCAUGAGCGCAAUGGGGCCAUCCCAGGCUCCCCACUUGUCUGCAAGUGUGCAGUGGGAGGAUUUUAGUGGUUCUCACGAAGGAUGCUGACUGGGAAGGAUGUAGGUGCUGGGAUGUAGGGAUUUAUUGCCAGUAGGUGAUUGGCUGUUUCCACCUAAGGGAAAAUUACUGGAGGACCCCUCCACCAUCCUUACCAACUCCAGCAUUUUUCGGAGCUUAACAACAGGGCUGUGUUUCCCUGGAGGCGCUCUGGUGGCUCUGUGGGUGGACCACACUUCCACUCUGGCCACUUGGCCCAUGAACGAAUCACGAGGGGUAAGAAAAUGAUAAAACUCCAUCUCAUUUGGAAACAUGAAUCACAGCUUAUUGUUUGCAAGUACUUGGAAUCUGUUAGAAGCAUUGUUUGUAAAUGAGAUACUUCAGUUGUAUAUUUAUUUUGUAAAAUUGGGAAAGGAGUAAACAGCUGAUCUGGGGUUCCUUCUGCAAAGGCAGGAAAUGCUGGUUCCUCCCAAUUCAUUCCACUGGGGGCUGCCUGUGAAAUUUACCAGCCCGCGUUUCCCCCUUGGUUUUGAGUUGGUGGGUCAUGUUUACGGGCCUGGCAUAUUAACAGGCAUAAACCUUGACUCAGCUGUCACACUGGCCAGAUGAUCUUUUCUCUCACAGCCCAGUAGGCAGUUUUAUGUCCCGACGUCAAUAAAAUUAUGUUGCCAUGGAUCCUGUUCCUAAGAUUAGGUGAAAAGAUGCAGUAUGUUCUAGAAUCACACGUGAGGACCAUGUGCUCACUCACUCACAUCUCAACAAUGGUGUUGAAGGCAGAAUAAUGGUCCCCAAAAAGGUCCACGCCCUAAUCCCCAGACUCUGUGAAUUCAAUAUGUUACAUGGCAAAAGGGACUUGGCAGAUGUGAUUCAGGUUACUUGGAAUUCGUAGAUGGGAGAUUAUUCAGGACCAUCCACGUGGGCACAGAGAACUUUGGCUGUCAAAGUUGUGAAACAGGCAGUCAGAAGAUCCUAUGUUUGGAAGCACAGUUGCUGGCCCUGAGAUGUAGGGGCUCACUUGCAAGGACCAGAGAGAGGCCUCAGGGAGCUACGGGAGGCCCCUAGCUAAUGAUCGGCAGUUACAAAGAAUUGGAUCCUGCCAACACCCUGAAUGAGCUUGGAAACAGAUUUCCUCCCCAGGGCCUCCUGCUAAGAGCCCAGCCAGCCAACACCUUGAUUUUGAGACCCUGAGCUGCUGGGCGUGUGGCCUGUGGAACUGAGAUAAUACAUUUGUGUGGUUUUAAGCUGGCUGGGUUGUGGGAAUUUGUUACGGCAGCAGUGGAAAACUAAUACAGAUGAUGGGAGAGAAGCUUGCAGGGUGAGGCUCUCUUGCACCCUUGAGAUCUGUUACUAAGUUCAUUGAAGGUAGUGAACCCAAGUGUGCUCUUCACUUUGGCCACUUCCAAGUGCAGCUCUCAAAUGGGAUGGGGCAUUGGCACUGCUCUUACUCAUAAUGGGACCCUUGAGCAAAUUACUCAUACUUUCUUAGCCUUGGUUUUCUCAUCUGUGAAGUGGAACCAAGCCUGCUUGCUGCCGAGUCGUGAGGACUCGCUGAGAUGAUGUUGGCAGAGAAUUUAGCCCUGCGUUUAAGAUAUGCCAAGUACUCAACGAAGCGUUGCUUUUGUUAACUUUUUAUUUAAUAAAGCAUAAAGUUUAGAAACAUAGUGACAAGUGACUUCUGUGUGCGGUUAACGGGUUGCUGGAAAAAUGCCUUUCUUCAAAAGUUGGUUUCUUGAUAGUGUGUUUUGCUUCCUAAUUGGGGUAGAAGUCACAUUUGCUCAGUGUGAGGAGCCUGACUUGCGUGCCUUCACAUUAGCUCUAAGCAAUGAUAAUUGCUAGGAAUAGUGUGAUAUCCAAAUAAAUUUGGGAGCGUGGGAGUUGAUGAGAGAUCUCUUUUGUUAUCUAGAGUAGCAAGCAAGCUGCUACUUUGGGGAAGAAAAAUUAGAUUUGAUCAUAAGUAAAUAGAAAUGCAGGCAUUUUCAUUCACUGGAAUUGCAGCAAAACCAAAUCAGGGCAUAUUAUAUUUCUACAAACCUGAUUUUACUUUGGAAACAUAAGAAAUUUAAAUUUAUUUCUAUGCCAUUGUUUGCCUAGGAUACCAGACAUCUGAUCAGGAUUGUCUUAGUGUGUGUCAAUAGUUCUGUCUCUUUAUCACCUCUGUGGAUGCAGGUAGUGAAAUGGGGAGGAAGAAAUAGGCCACGUGGUGUCCUUUGCUGGGUGUGGCGCUGACGCCCCAGGGCCAUCGCUGUAGCAAGCGCACACUUGUACGCUGUUCCCACCCUCCUUCCCUCCCUCCCUUUUCCCUUCUUUCUUUUCUUCCUCUCUGUACUUUGUAUUUUCAGAUGAUUGCAUUAAACUUUGUAUUUUCAGAUAAUUAUAGCCAAAUGCGGGUGUAAAAUAUAAUUCAGGGAGAUCAUGAGUAGCCAUUACUAGUUUCACCUAAGGUUACGUCUUGUAAAGCUGUAGUACAGCAUCACGACUGGGAUAUUGACAUCGAUAGUCAAGGUACAGAACAUUUCCAGCACCACAAGCACCACGCCUACCUCCCUCCACGCCUUUCUCCCCUCAAAUCCUGGCCACCCUUUGCCUGUUCUGUGUUUUUAUAAUAUUGUCCUUUAAAGAGUGUUCCGUUAGUGAAAUUGCAUAGGAGGUAAGCUUUCGGGAUUGGCUUUUUUCACUCAGUAUCUCUCUCUGGAUAUUCAUCCGGGUGUUGCUUCUUUUCUUUGCUGAGUAUCAUUUCAUGGUCUGGAUAUGCCCCAGAUUAACUGUUCACCUGUCGAAGGACAUCUGAGUUUGGCUGUGACAAAUACAGCUGCUGUCAACAAGCACAUACAGGUUUUAGUGUGAACCUAAGUCUUCAUUUUCUGGGAUAAAUGCCCAGGAGUGCAGAGGCUGAGUCGUCUGGUAGUUGGAUGUUUAGCUUUUUAAGAAACUGCCAAACUUUCCUGGAGUAACUGUGCCAGUUCACAUUCUCACCAGCAGUGUAUAUGUGAUUGUAGAUUUCUCGGAAUCCUUGCCAUCAUUUGUCACCGUCCUUAUUGCUUGUGUAGGUGUGUAGUUGUCUGUCAUUGUGGUUGGAGUUUGCAUUUGCCUUGGUUUCAUUUGGGAGCCAGCGUGCAGCUCCCUGUGCUGCUGCGGUACAGGAGAAGGCAGCCCACCCAGGGGGUGCUGGUGGGAGCGCUGUAUGAGCGGGUCCACUGAGCUGUGAAAUUGUCCAGUGUAUUCAGGGAAGGACUUUGAUCCAGUUUGAAGAGACAUCAUGGAGUGGAAGGCUGACCGGGCACAUGCACCAGUGUGGAGACCACGGUUAACACCAGGUGGUCGCUUGUCAAGAUGCGGUUGUCAAGAUGUUCACUUUUCAAACCCUUCAGUGCAUCCGGAAGGCCUUCAGGGAGGAAAUGAGGAGGCGCCCGAGGAGGGGUCAGAGUUUGAGUUUUAGCCCUGACAAGGCCACUGUUCAUGCAUAUGACCCAGGGUGAGUGUUUGAACCUCUUCCAGCCUGGUUUCUGCGUUUUUAAGCAGCGAUGUUCUGGAUGGUACUGUGGGCUUUGCUUCACUGAGGUUGGGCUGAUGGGAGUUGACAGGAACUAAUUAAUGUAUCUUAAGGCAGUUUGGAAACAUUGUUAUGCAAAUGGAUUGCAUUUGCCAUCAGCCACUGUUCCUCAAUUUGCUUUUAUUGAUAUGAUGGGAAGUGCUUUGGAGCUGACGUUGAAAUCACAGUGUGGAAUUUGUGUGUUAGUUGACUGGAGCUACCAUAACAAAGGACCACAAGACAGGGUGGCUUAACCAACAGGACUGUGUUUCUUCACAAUUCUGUAAUGCCGGAGUCAAGGUGUUUUGGUGGUUGGUUUCUUCUGAGACCUCUCUCCUUGGGUUACAGACAGCUGUCUUCACCCUGUCUUCAUAGGGUCUUCCUUCGGUGUGUGUCAGUGUCCUCAUUUCCUCUUCUUACAAGGCCACUAUGGCCAGCCUCGGUGGCUCACACCUGUAAUCCCAGCAUUUUGGGAGGCUGAGGUGGGCGGGUCACCUGAGGUCAGGGGUUAGAGACCAGCCUGGCCAAUAUGGUGAAACCCCAUCUCUAGUAAAAAUACAAAAAAUUAACCUGGUAUGGUGGCGGGCGCCUGUAAUCCCAGCUACUGGGGAGGCUGAGGCAGGAGAAUCACUGGAACCUCGGAGGCGGAGGUUGCAGUGAGCCAAGAUUGCGCCAUUGUACUUCAGCCUGGGCAACAAGAGCAAAACUCCAUCUCAAAAAAAAAAAAGAGACCGGGCGCGGUGGCUCACGCCUGUAAUCCUAGCACUUUGGGAGGCCAAGGCGGGGAGAUCACGAGGUCAGUAGAUCGAGACCCUCCCGGCUAACACGGUGAAACCCUGUCUCUACUAAAAAUACAAAAAACUAGCCGGGCGUGGUGGCGGGCGCCUGUGGUCCCAGCUACUCGGGAGGCUGAGGCAGGAGAAUGGCGUGAACCCGGGAGGCGGAGCUUGCAGUGAGCCGAGAUCGCGCCACCGUACUCCAGCCUGGGUGACAGAGUGAGACUCCAUCUCGGAAAAAAAAAAAAAAAAAGAAAGAAAGGACACUAGUCAUGCUGGAUAAGGGCCUACCCUACCGUAAAGACCACACUUUGACUUAGUCACCUCUUUAAAUUCCCUGCCUCCAAAUACAGUCACACAUCCAGGAUGCUGAAUUUCUGAGGUUAGAACACUGACAUAUGGAUUUGGAGGGACACAGUGUAGCCCAUAACAGUAUGAUUUUGAUAACAUAAGACUUUUCAUCUACAGUUUCCCUCUGUCUUUAGUGGCCUUUGAAUUUUUUUUUUUUUUUCCUGCAAGCCCAUGGGUCCCUGGUGCUACUGGACUCGAGGGAGGUAAGGAGCUUUCUAAUGGGACUCCAAUUUGUUUCUGUUCAGAUCUGGAAAUUCCUUGUAAUCAAAUUAGUGACAGAACAAUGCAAUCAGGUAGUUUGAGAUCCAAACAGGAACUUCAGAGCAGUUCUUUAAGUGUGAUCAUUCUCCUGUGAGUGUGGCUCAGUCUCUGAGCUCAACCUACCUGGGCUUAAGCUGCAUUUAGCAUUAGGAUAUUCACACAUCCUGCUUGGACUUAAUUCCAGUUUCUUACCAUUUAUGUUUUUGUAGCAUGAGUAGGGCAGCCUCAUAUUGGCUCUGGAAUCCCAGUUGGACAGUGAUGGCAAAACCCGGGCUUUGGUGCUGGUGUCACACACUUGGUGACCCAGGGCUGUCCCACACAACUCCAGGGGGCACUGUUCUUCUCCACAGCCCACGAGGCUGGCUUCUGUCCUCCACUCGCACCUUGCGUGGCCCUCCGUGGCCUUGGGCCGUCAGAAAAGCGCUUUAAUAUCAGGAGCUCAUGGGGCAAGGGAGGGGGCUUGGCUCGUGACAAAUAAAUGACACCGGGCUUCUUGAUGAUGACUUACAAGCUCAGUUUUGGCCUGCCACUCUGCAGUUAUCCACAUGCCCACAUGCACGUGGGAAACUGAGUAUCCACGCAGGCACUCCCUGUCUUCAAAAGGCAGAUGGUUUCACCCCAGACAGAUGUCUGUCAGUUCGUUGAAUUUUCAUUUGGGUGCCUUGAGGAGAAAAAGAUGCUUUCUCUUGGCAUAUAGUGUGUGCUGUCAAAACAGCUCAGGUUAGGGGUCAUAGAGAUCCGUCUUUGAAUAUCAGCCUGGUGUCUUAUUAGGCAUGUCACCUUGGGGGUUAUUUACCUUAAGCCUGAGUUUCUCCUUUGUAAAACUGGUGAUAACACCAACCUCUUUGGGCCCUUCUGAGGAGAAAGAGAUAACCUAGCCCAAACCGGGCCCAUGGUCUGUGCUUGAUAAUGUUAGUUUCUUUCAUCCUUUAUUGAUUGCUUUGUAAGUAGAAGGCUGUGUUGCUUGGGACUGAAUCUCUAGCUUAAUUCAGGCUCUCCCCAGCCCUGCUGCAUGGGCCCCAUUGCUUCUGUAGCCCCUGCCUGUUGCAAAGUGCUGGUCAGAAUUUUAAUGUUAGCUCUGAGGUUAGAUCAGGGACUGUAGUUCUUAUUGAUUGCUGGGGGGUCCUGAAGGGACAGGAUGAAGGCAGAUCUCUACAUCUCUCAUCAGAAAUGUUACCUUGAGUCUUUAUCUAGAUGCAGUUGCUGUUUAGACCUAUGAUUUGUUGCUGCAUCUCCUGAGGAGUGUGAUGCAAGAUUUUUAUGCCAUCCUGAGUGAUUUGUUUCAGUUUUAAAUUUUAUUUUAUUUAUUUAUUUUUAUAGACAGGCUCUUGGUCUACUGGCCAGACCAGAGUGCAGUGAUGCGAUCAUAGCUCACUGCAGCCUUGAACUCCCAGGCUCAAGUGAUCCUCCAACCCUGGCCUUCUGAGUAGCUGGGACUACAGGUCUAGCUAAUUAAAAAAAACUUUUUUAAGGAGAUUGGGAGAGGGUCUUGUUAUGUUGCCCUGGUCUCAAACUCUUGACCAAAGUGCAGGGAUUAGAGAUGUGAGCCACCACACCCAGGGGAGUGAUUUAACUUAAUUGGUUACACUAGGUAAACUUAGGUGUAUUUAUGUAACAGUCAUGAUUUCCUUUCUGACUGUUAGCUAGCUGCUGUAACAAACAGCCCCAACAUUUUGCUGGCUUCAUACAAUACAAGUUUGUUUUUCAUUUGUGUCAAAGUGGGCGGUGGGGAGGGUGAGCAGGGGCUCUGCUCUGCCCAGCCAUUCAGAGUCUCUGGCUCCUUUGACCCUGCCAGUCUGCCCUCCACUGCCCUUCCCCAUUCAACCUGUAGAUGGGGAAAGAAAGAGAUGAGGAUGGUGCAUAGAUUUUCUUUCUGGCCUGGUCUGGGGGUGGUGCCCAUCCCUUCUGCUCACAUUUUCUCACCGUGACCUGAGUCUCUGGUCAGACCUGCAGCAAGUGGGGUGGGAAAUGUAAUCUGACUGUGUGCCUCGCAGGAAGAGGAGAAUGUGGAUUUGGUGGUCUCCUCCACGUGUUCCUAUUGAUGCUUAUUUUCCAUUACCAGGAAGAAUGUUAGUCUGGACUCUUCAGCUUCAUUGGCGUUGAGCAUAGAGGUUGUACAUCCUCAGGACUUUCACCCUGAAAGUCACUUGGCAGAACAGAUGUUCAUGUCCCUAUAAAGACGGAAGUGAUGCCAAGGACAGACGCCGCCUUUUUCCUUGGGGUGUAUUUUGCUACUUAUGUCCUAUAGAUUUCAGGAUAUUCUUCAGGGUAUACCAAGCCCGAGAGCAGUGCUGCUUUCUCAAUGUGUCUUUUUCUUUUUUGGGGGCGGGGGGGGGAUGGAGUCUUGCUCUGUUGCCCAGGCUGGAGUGCAGGGGCACAAUCUUGGCCCACUGCAACCUCCGCCUCCUGGAUUCAAGCAGUUUUCCUGCCUCAGCCUCCCAAGUAGCUGGGAUUACAGGUGUGCACCACCGCAUCUGGUAAUUUUUUGUAUUUUUAGUAGUAACACGGGGUUUAGUUACUAACACGGGUUAGUAACACGGGGUUUCACUGUGUUAGCCAGGAUGGUCUCGAUCUCCUGACCUCGUGAUCUGCCCACCUUGGCCUCCCAAAGUGCUGGGAUUACAGGCGUGAGCCACCGUGCCUGGCCUCAGUGUGUCCUGUCCUUUUCAUAUCUGUCUGGCUGUUCCUGUUCCCACCAUCCAAAAACACAUGCACACCCCAGGCCCCUUUCCUGUGCUGUUUAAUUCUUUUGGCCUCAGAAGGCUGUGUACUAAAGCUUGCUAAUGAGAACCGUGUCUUUGUUUUUAAGUGUUUUUUGUCUUUAUAGAAUGGAAUCUCUAUAUUCUGAAAUAACUCUUGUCUAUGAGUAUGUAUGCAAUGAGAAAGGCUAUAAAGUUAAAUCAAGGAGAGCAACAGUGACUUAAAAGUUAGGCGUUGGGACACUAUGGUGUGGAGUUUAGAGCACUGGAUUGACAGCCUGAAUAAUAGGGUCUGGUAUUCCUGGGUACAGCACUUAACUGCUGCCACCUCUGCCCUCCCUGAGCCCCAGGCCCCUUACCUGGAGUUAGGGCAUAUCCUAGCACAUCUGUGCAUCUCAGCUCUGCCCAGGGGAGAGAGCAGGACCGUGUGUGUGGAAGAGCUUUGAGAAGAGAAAGUACUACUUAGUGUUGGGUUAUUCAUGUUAAACUAUUAUACAGUCAAUAUUAACUUCUUAUAGAGAAAAUAUAUGAUUUCUGGUGAUUGUUUUAAAUUGGAAAAGGACAGUGUGGCAUUGUGAGUUUCACUUUCCUCAAAGUUUUAUGAUUUUUAUUUUACUUACUAGUAGACAAGUUUUCUAGUAAUUGAUUAUGUUGUGAGUAGAUGAACAUCUUGCAUAAGCAGCUAGCCUGGGCUGCUGUGUAACCUAUGUAUAGAGACGAAUGGUGAUGAAGCCUGUAUGUUUCAGCCUCGGUUAGGAAACCUUCUGUCCUAAGCCACAGAAAAGUUAAAGAAGACUCUGCCUCGAAAUAACUCAUUUCUUCCCUCCCUUCUCCCCUUCUUCCCUCAUUCCUUCUGUCCUUUCUUCCUCCCCUCCUUCCUUUCCUCCUUCCUUUCCUCCCCUCCUUCCUUCUACCCCUCCUUUCCUUCCUUCCCUUCUUUCUUCCUUCCUUCCUGUUUGCUUGCCAGCCCUGUUCUUAGACAUUGGUAUCUGGAGCUGCCCUCAUGGGGUUUAUAGUCUGAUACAGCCAACUCUUCCAUAUCUGAAACUCUCGAGGCCAGUGGUGUUUCAGAAUUCCAGUUUGUCACAGUGCAGAGAGACAGGUGGGAGCUGUGUGAGGCCAGCGGUGUUUCAGAAUUCCAGUUUGUCACAGUGCAGAGAGACAGGUGGGAGCUGUGCGAGGCCAGCGGUGUUUCAGAAUUCCAGUUUGUCACAGUGCAGAGAGACAGGUGGGAGCUGUGCUUGUGGCUCCUGUGCCAGACACCCCGAGCAGCUCUGGGCAACACCCUGGAGUCGAGCAUAUUGAUUCUGCUGCCAUGAGCGUGUGAACAUUCACAGCACGAGGGAAGCCAUCCGUAAUUAGCUCCUCUCCGCUCAGGUUAGACUUUUGCAGUUAAAUGAAUUACAGAAAUCUCUUUGGGUUUGGGAACUUUGUGGGUAUUUCGGGCUUGUGGGUAAUGAACUGUCGAUGUUGUAUUUUUUCACAGCUCAACCAACAUAUUCAGGUUUUGUCUUCUCAGGGCCUGUCAUUCAUUCUGGUUCUCUGAUCAGAUUUCCUCAGACUGUGGGUGCCUGCAGCCAGCCCGGAAGCCCUUUAAAAUGCCCUUCGUGGCCAUCCUGGCCUCAUUCCCAGAUCCACUCCUGUCCAGCUGGGUGCCUGGCUGGUCCCCGGUCACAGUCUGCAAUUCCCACUCCCCUGCCUCAGCUUCACAGGGUCUGUGGCUGAUCCGAGUCAGGCCCUGGGCACUGCUGGCCUCAUCACAUUGGCCUCCGGACCCCUUCUGGAAGAGACUUAUCCCUUUGUUCCACCCCGGGCUGUGGGGACAAGAUUUUGCGAGAGCUGAGGGCCCAGUGAGAAUGGUCUUGAGUCCUUAGGGCCUGGGAGCCCUAGGUGGAAGUGGGAAGGAGGAGGAGGAGAGUGGGGAGGAGAUGUGAGGACUAAGCGCACCCAGGGCCAGUUUAAGAGGUCAGGGUCGAGGACAUUAGAGGCCUGUCUCCCCCAGGCGCAUAAAGCUGUGAGUUUUCCUUCUUCAGUUCCUUAGGCAGAACCCCUAAAGCAGAUUCUGGGGUGAUGGAACUCUGGGUAUGAGUUCUUGUUAGCCAGGCAUAGUUAGGAGCUUGGGCCUGCAUCUGGACGAGAGAGACUCAGCUGUGCCCAUUGAGAGCUUGUGCUGCCUGCAAAGUGACCUGCCUGAGGCUCAUUGCCUGGUCCCUGUGAAUAUUAAGUGGCUUCAACACAAAGAAGGGACUUCCAGGGGAGGCUGCCCGGGAUUGCCAGUGCAGUGGGGCUCCGCUGAUGCUCAGGAUCACCAGCGUGCAGCGGGGACUCCACUGAUGCCUGGGAUUGAUUGCCAGCAUGCAGCGGGGACUCCACUGAUGCCUGGGAUUGAUUGCCAGCAUGCAGCGGGGGCUCCGCUGAUGCCCGGUAUCCACCAGCGUGCAGCGGGGGCUCUGCUGAUGCCUGGGCUUGCAUGCCGCUGCCGCUGCCUACUGGUGCGUGGCGGUAGCCGCCUGUGCCCAGCUGGUGUGCUUGUCCAAGGUGAUGACGGUACUUUUUAUUGCACAGAGUUGCUGGAGAGUUGAAUGACCUGGGUCAUGUCAGCACAGUUUCUCAGUCCCUGCACUGUUGACAUUCUGGGCAGGAUAAUUUUUCACCCUGGGGAGCUGUCCUGUACCUUGCUGGAUACUUAGCAGGGCCUGCCCAGUAGAUCCCGGUAGCAGGAUCCCCCUCCAGCUCUGUAUGUUCUUCAGAUGAUUUGGGGAUAUCACUGGUAUUUUAAUAAGUUCUAGAAUUUCCCCCAUUGACAUUGCCAGGAUGUCAAGCCAGGAUGUCUCAGCCAUUGCCAACUGUCCCGGGGGUAAGUGGGGCGGGAUGGCCUAACUCAUGGUAAACACUCAACAGCUGCUUACUGUUACUAAUGAUACUGUGUUAUUAGCAGCAAAGUCAGCGAAGUCACUUCUGUAUAUUUGGGAAGAAAAGCUAGAAACCCCAACGACUUGGUCUGGCAGGGUGUGCAGGUGGGCACGGAGGAUUCGGACAGGUGGGCACGGAGGAUUUGGAGGAGGAGAAAGUCAAGGUGCAGAUGGGCACAGAGGAUUUGGAGGAGGAGAAAGCCGAGAGGGAGUGUGGGGGCCCUUCGGCCAAGCUUCUUGGCUGUCUAAAGAUCAUUAGGAGCUGGCUGUGUUUCAUUCUCCUUCUGAGAGACAAACAUGAGUUUCUCUUGAGGCCAGGAGUGAUGUGCAGAUGAACACGAAUUGUGUGGCUCAUCCCAACAUGUCCUUUAAGAAACCCCAUGCAGGCUGCUUAGAGACCUUCCUAAACGCAGGAACUCAAGCAUUUGCUUCUUGGAGUUUUAUUUGCUGGAAUAAAGGCACUUAUCAACCUCUUUUUUAUUUUUCGAAAAUAAUAACUUAUUUUCUUUAACAUAAUUGACUUCACCAGAGGCAAAUACCGAUUUAGCAGGAAGGAAAUGUGAUUAUUUUCCUUUCUAAUUGCUGUGCUUCUAUUAACUUCACAAGAUUUGUUUUCAAGUCCUCCUAACGUCAUAAGUGUUUUCCUGACAAUUUUUCAAAGGCAGGAAUCGUCCUGUUCCUCCAGGCACCGUGGCCAAGUGGCCAGAUUUCUUCACAUUAUUCUUGGGGGUUGUUGCUUUGAGAAUCAGCCCAGUGAGGCCAAGGGGAAGGGGAGGUGGGGGUGUGUGCAGGAGGCCUGAGACUUAGGUGACCCCGAUGACGGUCUGUGCUAUUUCCAUACUCAGGCUCUGUGGCCGUCAGCCCGUUGCUCUGAGGGACAAAAGCUUUCUUAUCCCAACCCAGGCUGGAUGACCCCCCGAUCCCGCGUUGCUCUCUGCAGUUCUGCGACAUGCUUCCCCUCCAGUCCCCCUGGGGGCAGGUGGUGGCUCCGUGUCCCCUGCUAGACGGAGGGCCCUCGAGGGUGAGGCCUUAAUCCUGUUGCUUUCUCUCUUCCCAGCACCUGCUGUGGUCCCUGGCACACCUUGCCGUACAUUGAAUGAAGGCAAAGGGAGAGAUUUCAUCAUAGCAAAAUGUCAUGAACUGCCUGGAGAACCAUGAGUUUUCUGUUGGUGGGGAGUUACGUCUUGGAGGGGGCACCACUUCCAGGACUAAGGCAGUGUCGGCUCAGCUCGAGAAUGCAGUGGGUGACGGGGUCAGCAGCCCUAAAACUCCCUCCACCCCGGCUGUGGGAAGCACCCACUGGGGGCUCCAUCCCGAUGGGCUUCCUGAGCUAAAAUGGGUGCUUUGUCCAUGCUGGAUAAAUAUGUGGCGAUGUUGGUGGGUUGGGCAAGUCAGUUACACGACUCUGUAUGUUCUUCAGAUGAUUUGGGGAUAUCACUGUUAUUUUAAUAAGUUCUAGAAUUUCCCCCAUUGACAUUGCUACAAGGCAAUUAAAUUAAAUUAAAGUUCCUUCUUAAUAAAAUGUUCCAGUAAAACA